ensembl:lncRNA uncharacterized LOC114858698
GAGAAGAUAUUCUGAAUGAUGGACGGCGACGGUUCGCUGCAGUAUAAGUAGAAACCAGCAGGUGGCAGCAUCCGCUGAGCCGCUGCACCGACAUCCAACCUGGUGGUCUAAUUUUUCAUGAACACGGAACAUUUGGCCGCUGUGAAAAUGAACUCAGCUCGUUCCACGGCGUCACUGGCUGGAGGCUGCCUCUGGUAAAUGCCCUGAUGUUUGAAGGCACUGACCUGUUUUUUCACUCCUCUAAACAUGUUGACCACAUUGUUGAACGUCAGAAUUCACCCUGCAGGAUCUGAGAUGGCAGCUCCCUCCUCCAAACAUCACCUUUUUUGAUUUUUUUUUCCCACUUUGGUUCCUUUUUACACCAUCUGUUGUGUUGCAGAAUGUGUCCCAACAUCACUGCACACCAGACCCUAACGCUCAAAGCAGCAACAUUGAUGUGUGAAGAGGUGAAACACAACCAUCUAUAUGAACAGUAUUAGAUUAGAUGACUCUUGACAUGCAGAUUUACAGACAAACACCCAGUAGAUGUUUGUGGCCAAAAGGCUUGAACCACAGAGGCCUCAGCUGUACCAGACCGCAUGUAUCACCAGAUCAGCCCCUCCCCUCCUGUCUUUACCCCAGGACAGUCGGCAGUAGCUGUAUUAGUGGGUCUGUUGGUGUUGGUGUAAUCUUCACACACCGUCUCAACAGGGGAAAAUCCAUGCUGACAUCUUCCUUCCGGUGUCACAAUGACGGCACAUAAAAAGAGUUGAGACAUGACACCAGCACAGAGCAGAAGGCAUUCAGCUCUUUAUCUGACCGUAAACAAGCAUUUUAAUCUGUCGGUGACGCUUUUCUGUCAUACAGCGGAUCACGGUCGCCCGUUUGUGUCACUAUGGCAAAAGACUUCACGGGAAGCUGUUUAUUCAAUGUCUUGGGUGCAGGGUUUACCAUUCUCAUCAUAGCUGCAUUCCCAGUUACUGAGAUCACCAUCGGUGCGCUGUACCUGCAUGAGUGCCCAGUAGCACCAGCGAUCCCAGUCUGUGUGAUGGUGUGGGGGAUACUGGUUUUGAUGGUCAUAGGCCUGCUUCUUCUGCCAAAACUCUGUCCAGGAGCCCCGGACAACACGACCUUGGCUCUGUCUAUCUGGAGCCUCUUUCUGCUCCUCGUUAUCGCAGUUCUCUAUGGCAGUUACCACAUUUACGCAGUGUAUCCUCCCAACUACAACAAGGCUCUCACCCACACAAACGGACCCAACAGCAGCAUCCCCCGUGUUCCUGCAGCUGACAAGGUCCUUCCCACCGCGCAGAACGAGAACCACACUCUUCCACUCCUGAACCACACCUGGACGAUGCAUAAGAACCACACCUUAACGGAUAUGAUUCAGAAGUUGGUCCGAAGCAGAUCAGAGGGCGAGCACCUGAACGCCACAGCGCCUUACUGCAACAGAACCGUGUACCUGUUCGCCUUCUGGACCACCACGUUAGCCUAUGUGCUUACAGGACUCUCCCUGGUGAUCCUCUUCUUUUUCUAUUUUUGCAUGAAGUUAUUAGUUUCCAUUGUCUACCACUGAUGACUUCAGAGGACGCUUCCGUUCGCAUCACGUUUAAGGAAACCGUAGAAGUGACAGCUGCUCUCGAGUGGCCCACCAGGAGCUCCUGCUUUUGAAUAAAAGGCCGCUCCACUUGGCCA